rnacentral:rRNA from 1 species
CCUACGGGUGGCAGCAGUGGGGAAUAUUGGGCAAUGGGCGCAAGCCUGACCCAGCAACGCCGCGUGAAGGAAGAAGGCUUUCGGGUUGUAAACUUCUUUUCUGGGGGACGAACAAAUGACGGUACCCCAGGAAUAAGCCACGGCUAACUACGUGCCAGCAGCCGCGGUAAUACGUAGGUGGCAAGCGUUAUCCGGAUUUAUUGGGUGUAAAGGGCGUGUAGGCGGGAAUGCAAGUCAGAUGUGAAAACUAUGGGCUCAACCCAUAGCCUGCAUUUGAAACUGUAUUUCUUGAGUGCUGGAGAGGCAAUCGGAAUUCCGUGUGUAGCGGUGAAAUGCGUAGAUAUACGGAGGAACACCAGUGGCGAAGGCAGAUUGCUGGACAGUAACUGACGCUGAGGCGCGAAAGCGUGGGGAGCAAACAGGAUUAGAUACCCUAGUAGUC